AUCUCUGUGGUGCAAUUGGUUAGCACAUUCAGGCCAAAAUCCUGAAAGGUUGGUGGUUCAAAUCCACCCAGAGAUA